CACGUAGGGCGCAAGCGUUGUCCGGAAUUAUUGGGCGUAAAGAGCUCGUAGGUGGUUUGUUACGUCCGCUGUGAAAUCCUAGGGCUUAACCCUGGGCUUGCAGUGGAUACGGGCAGACUAGAGGUAGGUAGGGGAGAAUGGAAUUCCUGGUGUAGCGGUGAAAUGCGCAGAUAUCAGGAGGAACACCAGUGGCGAAGGCGGCAUCCUGGACCAAUUCUGACGCUGAGGAGCGAAAGCCAGGGGAGCAAACGGG
rnacentral:rRNA from 1 species